GAAAUAAGGAUAUCCAAGAAUAAGCUUCUAACUUAAUUCUUAAGCAAUAAAAAAUUGUUUUUAUUUCU
rnacentral:tRNA from 1 species